CUACGUAGGGUGCAAGCGUUAAUCGGAAUUACUGGGCGUAAAGCGUGCGCAGGCGGUUUUGGAAGACAGUGGUGAAAUCCCCGGGCUCAAACUGGGAACUGCCAUUGUGACUGCAAGGCUGGAGUGCGGCAGCGGGGGAUGGAAUUUCGCGUGUAGCAGUGAAAUGCGUAGAUAUGCGGAGGAACACCGAUGGCGAAGGCAAUCCCCUGGGCCUGUACUGACGCUCAUGCACGAAAGCGUGGGGAGCAAACAGGAUUAGAUACCCUGGUAGUCCACGCCCUAAACGAUGUCAACUGGUUGUUGGGUCUUCAUUGACUCAGUAACGAAGCUAACGCGUGAAGUUGACCGCCUGGGGAGUACGGCCGCAAGGUUGAAACUCAAAUGAAUUGACGGGG
rnacentral:rRNA from 1 species